AGGAUGAACGCUGGCGGCGUGCCUAAUACAUGCAAGUCGAGCGGUAAGGCCACUUCGGUGGUACACGAGCGGCGGACGGCUGAGUAACGCGUAGGAACGUACCCCAAACUGAGGCAUAAGCACCAGAAAUGGUGUCUAAUACCGCAUGUGCUCUUCGGAGUAAAGCUUCGGCGGUUUGGGAACGGCCUGCGUCCGAUUAGCUUGUUGGUGAGGUAAUGGCUCACCAAGGCGACGAUCGGUAGCUGGUCUGAGAGGAUGAUCAGCCAGACUGGGACUGAGAACGGCCCAGACUCCUACGGGAGGCAGCAGUAGGGAAUUUUCCACAAUGGGAC
rnacentral:rRNA from 1 species